GCGUGAGUGAUGAAGGUCUUCGGAUUGUAAAGCUCUUUUGGCAGGGACGAUGAUGACGGUACCUGCAGAAUAAGCUCCGGCUAACUUCGUGCCAGCAGCCGCGGUAAUACGAAGGGAGCAAGCGUUGUUCGGAUUUACUGGGCGUAAAGGGCGCGUAGGCGGCGUAACAAGUUGGGAGUGAAAUCCCUGGGCUCAACCUAGGAACUGCUUUCAAAACUGUUAUGCUCGAGUAAGGAAGAGGUUGGUGGAAUUCCCAGUGUAGAGGUGAAAUUCGU
rnacentral:rRNA from 1 species